rnacentral:rRNA from 1 species
UACAGAGGUCUCAAGCGUUGUCCGGAUUUAUUGGGCGUAAAGAGCGUGUAGGCGGCCAGGUAGGUGGGUUGUGAAAACUGGAGGCUCAACCUUCAGAGGUCGACCCAAACCCCCUGGCUAGAGUCCGGAAGAGGAGAGUGGAAUUCCUGGUGUAGCGGUGAAAUGCGCAGAUAUCAGGAAGAACACCCGUGGCGAAGGCGGCUCUCUGGGACGGUACUGACGCUGAGACGCGAAAGCGUGGGGAGCGAACAGG